AGUAUCUAACCAUCAGAGACAGAGAAAGUAUAGAAAUAUAAGAUUAGAUCUGUCAGAGUUUAUAUAUCUAUGUACAAGAAAACGAAAACUCAUACAAGAAAAAACUCAUUUUGUAUCAGUUUCCUCACACUGUUGAUUGAUCUACACAAGUAUACCAAACCUAUUGAAGUUUUCUUGUAGAUAUAUAGAUAUAUACUCACCAGUUAAUUUCCACUCCAAUUCUUGAUUCUUUUCGUUGUCUCUAUACGUACGUACACUGCUUGUUUUAAUUAUAUAUUAUUCUUUGUUUCAAUUCUUUCCUUUAAUUUCCAAUACAUGAUCAUUUGGAGUAGUGAUCUGCUAUACUUUGCAUCACCU
rnacentral:misc_RNA from 1 species